AGAGUUUGAUUAUGGCUCAGGAUGAACGCUGGCGGCGUGCUUAACACAUGCAAGUCGAACGCUGAAGCCCCAGCUUGCUGGGGUGGAUGAGUGGCGAACGGGUGAGUAACACGUGAGUAACCUUCCCUUGACUCUGGGAUAAGCCCGGGAAACUGGGUCUAAUACCGGAUACGACCUCCUGCCGCAUGGUGUGGGGGUGGAAAGAUUUAUCGGUUUUGGAUGGACUCGCGGCCUAUCAGCUUGUUGGUGAGGUAAUGGCUCACCAAGGCGACGACGGGUAGCCGGCCUGAGAGGGUGACCGGCCACACUGGGACUGAGACACGGCCCAGACUCCUACGGGAGGCAGCAGUGGGGAAUAUUGCACAAUGGGCGCAAGCCUGAUGCAGCGACGCCGCGUGAGGGAUGACGGCCUUCGGGUUGUAAACCUCUUUCAGUAGGGAAGAAGCGAAAGUGACGGUACCUGCAGAAGAAGCGCCGGCUAACUACGUGCCAGCAGCCGCGGUAAUACGUAGGGCGCGAGCGUUAUCCGGAAUUAUUGGGCGUAAAGAGCUCGUAGGCGGUUUGUCGCGUCUGCCGUGAAAGUCCGGGGCUUAACCCCGGAUCUGCGGUGGGUACGGGCAGACUAGAGUGCAGUAGGGGAGACUGGAAUUCCUGGUGUAGCGGUGAAAUGCGCAGAUAUCAGGAGGAACACCGAUGGCGAAGGCAGGUCUCUGGGCUGUUACUGACGCUGAGGAGCGAAAGCAUGGGGAGCGAACAGGAUUAGAUACCCUGGUAGUCCAUGCCGUAAACGUUGGGCACUAGGUGUGGGGGACAUUCCACGUUCUCCGCGCCGCAGCUAACGCAUUAAGUGCCCCGCCUGGGGAGUAC
rnacentral:rRNA from 1 species